GCCUGGGUGGCUCAGUCAGUUGAGCGUCUGACUUCGGCUCAGGUCAUGAUCUCGUGGUCUGUGAGUUCGAGCCCCACAUCGGGCU
rnacentral:tRNA from 1 species